rnacentral:rRNA from 1 species
AGUGAACGCUGGCGGCGUGCCUAAUACAUGCAAGUCGAACGGAGUGGCGCACGGGUGAGUAAUAUAUAGCUAAUCUGCCCCUUGCUGGAGGACAACCGUUAGAAAUGACUGCUAAUACCCCAUAGGAAAGGAUGAGACCAAAUCGUAUCAGCUAGUCGGUGGGGUAACGGCCUACCGAGGCUAUGCUGCGUAACUGGUCUGAGAGGAUGAUCAGUCAAGUUGGAGCUGAGACACAGUCGAAACUCCUACGGGAGGCAGCGGUAGGGAAUAUUGCGCAAUAGGGGGAGCCCUGACGGAGCAACGCCGCGUGGGGGAUGACACUUUUCGGGGCGUAAACUCCUUUUGUUAGAGAGGCGGUACCUAACGAAUAAGCACCGGCUAACUCCGUGCCAGCCGCCGCGGUAAUAC